AAUGUAUAGCAAUAGCUGCUUGCAUCAUUGUAAAUAUGAUGCAAGAUCGACUAUGUCGAAUAAAAUUCUAGGUAGAAUUAUGAUAAUGACAUUGUCUGCCUAUGUGUCUUGACCAAAUUACGUGCCAGCAGUCGCGGUAAUACGUAGAAGACUAGUGUUAUUCAUGUUUAAUCGGUUUAAAGGGUACCUAGACGGUAAAUCAAGCCUAAAAGGAAAUAAAUGAAGGGACUAAUUUACUAGAGUUACUUAUGAGGGGGUAUUAAAGUACUGCUGGUGUAGAGAUGAAAUUCUGUCAUACCUCUUUUCAAUAGAAAAAUAAUGGCACAGGUAUAGGCGAAAGCAUCCCCUUAUGUGAUAACUGACGUUGAGGGACGAAGGCUUUGUGUAGCGAACAGGAUUAGAUACCCCAGUAGUCAAAGCAGAAAAUGAUGAAUGUCAUAGAUUAGAUAUAUAAGUUUAUUCUAUAAAUGAAAGUGUAAGCAUUCCACCUCAAGAGUAAUUUGGCAACAUUGGAACUGAAAUCAUUAGACCGUUUCUGAAACCAGUAGUGAAGUAUGUUGUUUAAUUUGAUGAUCCGCAAAAAACCUUACCACAAUUUGAAUAUUUAUAUCUUUUAUUGUUUUUCUUUUUAACUUUUUCUAAUUUUCUACUUAAAAGAAAAAAAUAACAAGAAAAAAGAGACAAUAAGAUAUAUUUACAAGCGUUGCACGGCUGUCUUCAGUUAAUGUCGCGAGACUAUGGUUAGUUCCAUUAAAUUAACGUAAACCCUUACUUUAUUUUUAUAUAGAGUAGUUCCCCGCUAUAUUGGAUAUGAUAACAGG
rnacentral:rRNA from 1 species